GUGGAGGUGAGGGCAUCUCACUGGAGUUCUCUGCCUACCUGAGGCCUUCCAAGGGGAGGCAGCAGUGACGUGGAUGUGCGGCUCCAGGUGGAAUUAUUGACCUCACAUCUUGGGCUCCUGGAAUUAUCUUUGCCAAAAGCAAAGCCUCCAUCUGCACACUUGCAAGCCGUUAAUGCCUAAUUGAAUGGCGCCGCUGGAGCCAGGAACUAAGGGUCCAACCAGGACACACUGUCAGCCCAAGCAAGCUGCAGACAUGAGGUACACCCAUCCUCUUCCAACUGCCCGAGCACAGGUCAACUGUGCAGAGGUGAAUGGAACUGUCUCUAUUUGUCACCUGGGCUCCUGGACAAUGCUUGAGUGCAGUGCUGGGGACUGUCCUGUCCAGCAGACAGCAAAGGACUCAUAAAUGUGAGUGCAAAGCUGUUGUGUUGGCUUUCAUUGUGCUGCAGGUUUGACCCUGUGUGCUGUGCUGUACCUCUGACCCCCGACCAGACACUUGUAAAUGGAGAAACUUCAGAAUAAAUGAUGUUUUGUGCAAA